UACAGAGGUCUCAAGCGUUGUUCGGAUUCAUUGGGCGUAAAGGGUGCGUAGGCGGCGCGGUAAGUCGGGUGUGAAAUCUCGGAGCUUAACUCCGAAACUGCAUUCGAUACUGCCGUGCUUGAGGACUGGAGAGGAGACUGGAAUUUACGGUGUAGCGGUGAAAUGCGUAGAGAUCCGGAGGAACCCCAGAGGCGAAGGCGGCGCCCUGGCUCGCACCUGACGCUCAGACACGACAGCAUGGGGAGCGAACGGG
rnacentral:rRNA from 1 species